AGAGUUUGAUCAUGGCUCAGGAUGAACGCUGGCGGCGUGCUUAACACAUGCAAGUCGAACGGACUCGUAUUGAAACCUAGUGAUUUACGGGUUAGUGGCGGACGGGUGAGUAACGCGUGGAUAACCUGCCGUAUACUGGGGGAUAACACUUAGAAAUAGGUGCUAAUACCGCAUAAGCGCACAGCUCCGCAUGGAGCAGUGUGAAAAACUCCGGUGGUAUACGAUGGAUCCGCGUCUGAUUAGCUUGUUGGCGGGGUAACAGCCCACCAAGGCAGCGAUCAGUAGCCGGCCUGAGAGGGUGGACGGCCACAUUGGGACUGAGACACGACCCAAACUCCUACGGGAGGCAGCAGUGGGGAAUAUUGCACAAUGGGGGGAACCCUGAUGCAGCGACGCCGCGUGAGUGAAGAAGUAUUUCGGUAUGUAAAGCUCUAUCAGCAGGGAAGAAAAUGACGGUACCUGACUAAGAAGCCCCGGCUAACUACGUGCCAGCCGCCGCGGUAAUAC
rnacentral:rRNA from 1 species